CCCUGCAUCUCUUGCCUGGUGUCCUACUGAAGCUAAGCAACGUUGAGCCUGGGUAUUACCUGGAUGGGAGACCUCCUGGGGAAAACUAAGGUUGCUGCUGGAU
rnacentral:rRNA from 1 species